GGCCACCUUCGGGGGGCUUUACCAAAGGCAGUAAUACGCCAACAUAGCAGACGGAAGACAGAAA
ncrna:unclassified sequences L2-Alphaproteobacteria ribosomal protein leader